AAGGAAUAUUGGACAAUGGGGGAAACCCUGAUCCAGCAAUGCCGCGUGAAUGAAGAAGGCCUUCGGGUUGUAAAGUUCUUUCGCUUACGAAGAAUUAAUGACGGUAGUAAGAUAAGAAGAUCCGGCUAACUCUGUGCCAGCAGCCGCGGUGAUACAGAGGGAUCUAGCGUUGUUCGGAAUGACUGGGCGUAAAGGGUGCGUAGGUGGUUGUUUAAGUAAAACGUUAAAGCCCUGGGCUUAACCCAGGAAUCGCGUUUUAAACUGAAUAGCUAGAGUGUGGAAAAGGAAAGUGGAAUUCCUAGUGUAGAGGUGAAAUUCGUAGAUAUUAGGAAGAACACCAGAGGCGAAGGCGGCUUUCUGGUCCACAACUGACACUGAGGCACGAAAGCGUGGGGAGCAAAC
rnacentral:rRNA from 1 species